rnacentral:lncRNA from 1 species
AAGCUAACAACCAGAACACACUAUAGGUGGGAGACUCUUCCUCUAGGUUUCCUGAACAUCUGUUUCAAAGGCUUGAAUAAAUUACCACUCCCCUUUGGGACACAGAACAAGGCACAUAUAGCAAAGAUUCAAAGAAUUUUAUAACAUUUUUUAUAGCAGCGAUUCACAAUCCAGUCUGUCGUCUGUCCCUUAAACUGUGUGGGAAAUCCCUCCAGGGAGUUUCUGAUUCCUUCCUGUUUUACGUGGCCAGUUGUAGCCAUUCAGGUUUGAUGAGGCUGGAUGCUCAUAUACCAGCAUGGAUAAACUCGACGAAGCUUUCAGCGGCACCCACCCCUUAACCUUUCUGGAUAUCCCUCAAGUUCCCUGAAAUUCCUCAUGGGGACCGCUUCACACAAUUGCUCAUGAAGGUUGUGUGUUUGUUUCUCUCUUUUGUAAUCCAACCCAAAGUCUACCCCCACCCUCCGAGUAUAUGCACGAAUACAAGGGCAGCCUCAUUUUCUUUGCCAUUUGGUUCACACUCAAAACUCCAACGUGGUCAUUGGCUAGCCUGAGCAGGAUACUUGACCACCCAUUUUUUUUCUACGUUAGAGCAUAGUUGAUACUUUUCUAUUGCUGUGAUAAAAUGUCAAGGCCAGAUAGCUUAUUUAAGAAAGUGUUUGUUUGGGGUGUCUAACCCUUUAGAACCCACGAUGGUAAGGACCGCAGGCAGUAGCUGAGAACUCAAGUCUCAAACCACAGACAGGAAGCCGAGAGAGGAAGUGUUGACUCUCAGAGACGUACCUCCUCCAGCAAGGCAACACCUUCUAAUUUCCCCAGCCAGCAGGCACUGGGGACCAAGUAUUCAGAUACUGGAGACUUGUGGGAGACAUUCAAACUACCACAUAGAGGUGCCCGUGUCCUUCAACGCUGACAGCAGCCAGUGAGA